GGCUGCCCGCCGCCGCUCUACCCCGGGCUCAGCGGCAGCUGCAGUGACUGUGUGCCUGUGUCAUGUCUGUGCCUGGGCGGGCGGAGGCGCGGGGCCGAGGCGGAGCCAGCCCGCUGACACGCCGCCCAGCGACAGGCGCCGAGAGCCCAACCAGCGGCUGCCGCCAGCGCGGCCGGCCCGCCCGACCGCGGAGCGGGGCGCCGCGGGUCGCUACACCUGGGCCCAGGACAGCGAGCGCGUCCCGCGGGAGGGCAGUGCGAGGGGAGACCCGGCUCCGCGCCCGCCUGCCUCCGCCUGCCGAGCGGUGACCCCAAGCGCCGCAGCUGAGCGCACCGUCCCGGCCGGACGGCGGAGCGCGGUGUGAAUAGCUCCAUCAGUCUUUGUCCUUGAAAAUCUUGAAGUGGCAAUUGCUUUGGACAUAGAGAAAACAAGCAGUGCAGAAGGAUCCUUAUGCCAAGGACAGCUAGAAGAAAGGAGAUGCAAAUAUUUGCACUUCAGAUUUCAUUCAGCCAGAAGGAAGAAUCUUCUGGAAAAGAAAAGCAGCAUUGUACAGCCUUUAAAAUAAUCUAAAACUUCACUGUCUAUGAAGAUGAAACUGACCCAGGUACUCUAAAGACUAGAUCAAGGUAUGUUAAGCUCAGUGGAGAAACUGCACUGGUUUCACUGGUAUUCAGUCUAAACGAUCCUUUAUGUCCCAGUCUGUGUUCUUGGAAAAAAAUACAUAUACACGUAUAUACAUACACACACACAUUUAUGAAGUUCUUUUUUAGUAAUUGUUUCUAUUUGACUGCUUUACCUCACUCCCAAUCAAAUAGUGGAUAUAUUGUCUCUCUCUUGUUACUCUUUCUUUUGUUGCACUUCUCUGUUUAUUGCCCUGUGGUAUGAAUGCUAAAUAAGACCAUGAAAAGCCUUAGAUGAAUUGUAGAUCUGUAUAAUUAAUACCUGCUAUCCUUUCUAGAAGUAUUAAAGCACAGGAUGUAUCACUCCUCUGCUCUUAUCUUAACACAUUUCAAAUUUAAUUCAUCUAAAGACACUUUUCACUGCUCUGGUAAAAAAAGAGGAUACUCUACCUGUUAAAAAAAAGACCUAUCGUUUCCAUUAGAAGUACCUGUCUUAUGCAUGGAAGGUUGAAUUGUUUUCAGAAUAGCUUCAUUAACUUCUGAAAGUGUUACCAAUACAGGCCUCCCCAGAGCCAGGAUGCUAAUUGGAAGGAAAACUGUCGUUACAGUAGCUCAAGAAUUGUGUCUUCUUUAAGAGAGCAAGAAGGCUCAUUCAAUCACUGCCAGAGUGUUUCUGCCAGAAAGGAGGAAUAACUGCCGGUUAUAUGAACUCAGAGAAUACAUGUGACAAAUGAGUUAUUCCCACACUGAAAUAGCCUCUUCAGACAACCAACAACAGUAAGUCUAAUAAUGAUUAAGGAAACAAUGUUAAGUUGUCCAUCAAGUUUCAUGCCGUCUGAGCAAUGAUCUUUGUGGCCAGCAUCAUCUGUUAGCUCCUAUGUCCCCAGCUAGGUGGGUUAGGCAUGUUUGGAGGGUGCCAUAUGAAUUCUUGGAUUGCUUCCUUAUGCAGCCAGAGUAUCAGUAGUAACACGUCUGGCAUUUGUCACAUUUAUGCUGAUUUUAUUUUAAAGC